rnacentral:rRNA from 1 species
GGCGCCUUGCGCGCACCGGCGGACGGCUCAGUAACACGUCGGUAACCUACCCUCGGGAGGGGGAUAACCCCGGGAAACUGGGGCUAAUCCCCCAUAGGCCUGAGGUACUGGAAGGUCCUCAGGCCGAAAGGGGCUUCUGCCCGCCCGAGGAUGGGCCGGCGGCCGAUUAGGUAGUUGGUGGGGUAACGGCCCACCAAGCCGAAGAUCGGUACGGGCCAUGAGAGUGGGAGCCCGGAGAUGGACACUGAGACACGGGUCCAGGCCCUACGGGGCGCAGCAGGCGCGAAACCUCCGCAAUGCGGGAAACCGCGACGGGGGGACCCCCAGUGCCGUGGCAUCGCCACGGCUUUUCCGGAGUGUAAAAAGCUCCGGGAAUAAGGGCUGGGCAAGGCCGGUGGCAGCCGCCGCGGUAAUACCGGCGGCCCGAGUGGUGGCCGCUAUUAUUGGGCCUAAAGCGU